UACGUAGGGGGCUAGCGUUGUUCGGAUUUACUGGGCGUAAAGCGCACGUAGGCGGAUCGUUAAGUCGGGGGUGAAAUCCUGGAGCUCAACUCCAGAACUGCCUUCGAUACUGGCGAUCUCGAGUCCGGAAGAGGUGAGUGGAACUCCUAGUGUAGAGGUGGAAUUCGUAGAUAUUAGGAAGAACACCAGUGGCGAAGGCAGGUCUCUGGGCCACUACUGACGCUGAGAAGCGAAAGCGUGGGGAGCGAACAGG
rnacentral:rRNA from 1 species